UUCAAACUCAUGCUACUGAGAUAUUGUAACACCAAAUCGCCUGCACUUUAUCGGACGGGCUACAUCACUUGACCACCUGGGCUUCAUAAAAAUAAAGCUUUCGGUGGCCGGGUCUCCCUGUUACCUUUCCUCCUGAGUUUUUAUUUAACGUUGUAAUACAGUACAUGAUAUAUAAGGCAUGAACAUGGAAUGUAUAUAUAUAUAUACGACGUAUUAGUCAAAUGCGUUUUGUUAAAAUAUACUUUUUCACUUUUUUGGUCUUUUGGAAAACGUUGUUUGUGCUGUAUUUAGACCCUUCUUCAACG
rnacentral:lncRNA from 1 species